rnacentral:lncRNA from 1 species
UGUUGCAGAGAGAGAGAGAGGUAAUAUAGUAAUAGUGUUGCAGAGAGAGAGAGGUAAUAUAGUAAUAGUGUUGCAGAGAGAGAGAGAGGUAAUAUUGUAAUAGUGUUGCAGAGAGAGAGAGAGAGAGGUAAUAUAGUAAUAGUGUUGCAGAGAGAGAGAGAAAGAGGUAAUAUAGUAAUAGUGUUGCAGAGAGAGAGAGGUAAUAUAGUAAUAGUGUUGCAGAGAGAGACAGGUAAUAUAGUAAUAGUGUUGCAGAGAGAGAGAGGUAAUAUAGUAAUAGUGUUGCAGAGAGAGAGAGAGAGAGGUAAUAUAGUAAUAGUGUUGCAGAGAGAGAGAGGUAAUAUAGUAAUAGUGUUGCAGAGAGAGAGGUAA